UUAUACCUACGGGAGGCAGCAGUGGGGAAUAUUGCACAAUGGGGGAAACCCUGAUACAGCGACGCCGCGUGAGUGAGGAAGUAUUUCGGUAUGUAAAGCUCUAUCAGCAGGGAAGAAAAUGACGGUACCUGACUAAGAAGCCCCGGCUAACUACGUGCCAGCAGCCGCGGUAAUACGUAGGGGGCAAGCGUUAUCCGGAUUUACCGGGUGUAAAGGGAGCGUAGACGGAGGAGCAAGUCUGAUGUGAAAUUCCGGGGCCCAACCCCGGAACUGCAUUGGAAACUGUUUAUCUAGAGUGUCGGAGG
rnacentral:rRNA from 1 species